GCCCCCGUAGCUCAGCGGUAGAGCGGGAGACUACGUAUCCAGGCCGCUGGUUCGAAACUAGCCGGAGGCA
rnacentral:tRNA from 2 species